rnacentral:rRNA from 1 species
CCUGGCUCAGAUUGAACGCUGGCGGCAGGCCUAACACAUGCAAGUCGAACGGUAACAGGAAGCAGCUUGCUGCUUGCUGACGAGUGGCGGACGGGUGAGUAAUGUUGGGAAACUGCCCGAUGAGGGGGAUAACUACUGGAAACGGUAGCUAAUACCGCAUAAUGUCGCAAGACCAAAGAGGGGGACCUUCGGGCCUCUUGCCAUCGGAUGUGCCCAGAUGGGAUUAGCUUGUUGGUGAGGUAACGGCUCACCAAGGCGACGAUCCCUAGCUGGUCUGAGAGGAUGACCAGCCACACUGGAACUGAGACACGGUCCAGACUCCUACGGGAGGCAGCAGUGGGGAAUAUUGCACAAUGGGCGCAAGCCUGAUGCAGCCAAUGCCGCGUGUAUGAAGAAGGCCUUCGGGUUGUAAAGUACUUUCAGCGGGGAGGAAGGGGUUAAGGUUAAUAACCUUAGCCAUUGACGUUACCCGCAGAAGAAGCACCGGCUAACUCCGUGCCAGCCGCCGC